CUACGUGCCAGCAGCCGCGGUAAUACGUAGGGUGCGAGCGUUAAUCGGAAUUACUGGGCGUAAAGCGGGCGCAGACGGUUACUUAAGCAGGAUGUGAAAUCCCCGGGCUCAACCUGGGAACUGCGUUCUGAACUGGGUGACUAGAGUGUGUCAGAGGGAGGUAGAAUUCCACGUGUAGCAGUGAAAUGCGUAGAGAUGUGGAGGAAUACCGAUGGCGAAGGCAGCCUCCUGGGAUAACACUGACGUUCAUGCUCGAAAGCGUGGGUAGCAAACAGGAUUAGAUACCCUGGUAGUCCACGCCCUAAACGAUGUCAAUUAGCUGUUGGGCAACUUGAUUGCUUAGUAGCGUAGCUAACGCGUGAAAUUGACCGCCUGGGGAGUACGGUCGCAAGAUUAAAACUCAAAGGAAUUGACGGGGACCCGCACAAGCGGUGGAUGAUGUGGAUUAAUUCGAUGCAACGCGAAGAACCUUACCUGGUCUUGACAU
rnacentral:rRNA from 1 species